UACGUAGGGUGCGAGCGUUGUCCGGAUUUAUUGGGCGUAAAGAGCUCGUAGGCGGUUUGUCGCGUCGGCCGUGAAAUCUCCACGCUUAACGUGGAGCGUGCGGUCGAUACGGGCAGACUCGAGUUCGGUAGGGGAGACUGGAAUUCCUGGUGUAGCGGUGAAAUGCGCAGAUAUCAGGAGGAACACCGGUGGCGAAGGCGGGUCUCUGGGCCGAUACUGACGCUGAGGAGCGAAAGCGUGGGGAGCGAACAGG
rnacentral:rRNA from 1 species